rnacentral:tRNA from 1 species
GUCCCUGUAGCGCAAUGGAUAACGCGUUGGGCUUCUAAUCCAAGGGUCGUGGAUUCGCAUCCCACGUGGGAUG